rnacentral:rRNA from 1 species
UGGGGAAUAUUGUGCAAUGGGGGAAACCCUGACACAGCGACGCCGCGUGAGCGAAGAAGGCCUUCGGGUCGUAAAGCUCAAUAGUAUGGGAAGAAGGAAGUGACGGUACCAUACGAAAGCCCCGGCUAACUACGUGCCAGCAGCCACGGUAAUACGUAGGGGGCGAGCGUUGUCCGGAAUUACUGGGCGUAAAGAGCACGUAGGCGGUCCCUUAAGUCUGAUGUGAAAGCCCACGGCUUAACCGUGGAGGGUCAUUGGAAACUGGGGGACUUGAGUGCAGAAGAGGAGAGCGGAAUUCCACGUGUAGCGGUGAAAUGCGUAGAGAUGUGGAGGAACACCAGUGGCGAAGGCGGCUCUCUGGUCUGUAACUGACGCUGAGGCGCGAAAGCGUGGGGAGCAAACAGG